CCUACGGGAGGCAGCAGUGGGGAAUAUUGCACAAUGGGGGGAACCCUGAUGCAGCAAUGCCGCGUGAAGGAUGAAGGUUUUCGGAUUGUAAACUUCUUUUGUACGGGACGAAGAAAGUGACGGUACCGUAAGAAUAAGCCACGGCUAACUACGUGCCAGCAGCCGCGGUAAUACGUAGGUGGCAAGCGUUAUCCGGAUUUAUUGGGUUUAAAGGGUGCGCAGGCGGAGGUGCAAGUCAGCGGUCAAAUUGCGGGGCUCAACCCCGUACUGCCGUUGAAACUGCAUCCCUUGAGUGCGCGAGAAGUAUGCGGAAUGCGUGGUGUAGCGGUGAAAUGCAUAGAUAUCACGCAGAACUCCGAUUGCGAAGGCAGCAUACCGGCGCGCAACUGACGCUCAUGCACGAAAGCGUGGGUAUCGAACAGGAUUAGAUACCCGUGUAGUC
rnacentral:rRNA from 1 species